UUUUUUACACAAUCUAAAUACACUAAAGUUAAUCAAUAUGACGGCAUGCGAGACAAUUAUACUUGUUUUCUCCAGCUGUAAUUAUGACAUGAACUAGUAAAAACCAUUCAUACCCAAAAAUAAAUAAAAAAAGUGGUGCUACUUCAGCUGCCAAAGAAAAUGGCAGCUUUUGUACAAAUGUCUCUCAUAUCUACCCAAAAGUGGCAAAACACCCGAAGCUGCUUUUAUUAGAACAGCUUUUUACACAUUGUUCUUGUGAUCUUUUUUUUUUUUUAAAUCCUGUCCAAAACAUUCACAUUUCAGACUUUUCACACAAAUCUUUUUCUAAGUGGUGUUUAUUACUUCUUUGCCACAAUAUUUUCAGUCAGUUUCAUCCGAAAGUUCACACUCAAUACAACACUUUCCUAUCUACCUAAAGGGAUUUGUUCUUUUGGCUUUGUUCAUUGUAUAUCUGAGGCAUAAAUGAUU